UAACUCGUUGACUGCCAAUACGAAAGAUAUGAUAACAGCUAUGGAAAAGUACCCGCGAAUCUACCACAGACAUAUAAACAUCACGAGUGAAAACUGCAAAGAAACACAUGAAUGUGCGUUUAAAUGUAGGUAGUUUACUUCAUAAUAAUAACAAUUAUACAGAGAAUAUAUAGAGUACAGUGAAUAAUAAUGAAGUGCUCAAAAAGGUGCAUAUACUCAGCUAAGUGCAGAACAUAUAGGCCUAAUAUACCACAGAAGAGUAAUGAAUGGCAAUUGUUCUGGAUAAUUCUCAAUUAUUGUGGUAAAUGUAUCUAGUCUAAGUAUUAUUUUCGAAGUGGUGCUGUGCAAUUUGAAAAGCUGAAAGGGUGAAGUACUGACCUUGAAGUAAGACAGUACAACUACAAGUUAACAAUUUUGUUUAGAUACCACAUCCAAAGAAAUCAUUCCAACCAUUUCUACCAUCAAAAUUAAUAUAGUUCAAAAAAUGUACACUUCACUUAUAGUAAAAGUGUUUUUUAUUUAUAUCUCAGAAACUUAGUCACCCUUAAUCUAUGUAUCUAAAUCAAUGACCAGGUGAAACCUUUUAUUUCCUAAGCAAUCAUUUGACUUGGCAUCAAUUUUUUACUCUCCUGUUCCCAGUCUAUUGCUGUGUGUCCACACCUUAUAAAUAUAAGUGGAUUUUCCAGAUGAUCACUUGCAUACCAGUGGGGCUAAUCCUACAAUUGCACAACUUUUAUUUCAACAUAUAUUCUUGUGGCAGCAACACUUCAGGGCAUAUGAUUAAUCAGCUGUGAUAAGACACACCAAUAGCAAUUAUGAUAACCAUCUCUCUGAAAUAAACAAUAACAGCAACUUUCUAAUUCACAGGAUUUCAUUCUGUCUUAAUAUAAACACAACACUGCACUGUACAGUAAGUGGGUGUUGGAUGGAUGGAUGGAUGGAUGGAAAUAUGCAUGAAAUAAGCUUCUGGAGGCUAGUAGGCUGACUGAACUUUUAGGUAAUGAUAGCACUGUCAUAGGACUGAAUUUGGAUUCAGGAAGUGAUGUUGGAGCGAGGAUUGCAGUCCAAAUUAUACUCCAUUCUGAAUGACGAGGCCCAUCUUCCCAACAGAGACUUGCUGUGGAUAAGUAAUACAUGUAUGGAGUAUUUGUACUGAGGGUUAUUUCCUUCGUCUGGAUCUAUAAAGUUUUCUUUUCUGUUAUUGACUAUUAAUUCAGCAGUCGUAACUACAAAUUUCUAAUCUAAAAUAUACUCCAGUUAAAGGGUCCUACAUUCGCCUUCUCUCCUUUUAUCCUGGACAGCGUCCUAGGUGGUCUGAAAAGGUAUGCCACAAAAAUCAGAGUACCUGAAGGAAACCCCCAUGACCUCGGGAGAACAUGCACUCACACAAUGGAGGUGGGAUUCAAACCUCACACAUGUUGUGUUAUAUUCAAUAGGACACGUUGUUUGAUGGUUUCAGCAGAAGAUACACAUCAGUGAAUACAGGAGAGCAGGUGUGGGUAUUUUUGACAGGAAAAUCAAAUAAAGAACUAAAUCAACGUGUUAAAAACUAUUUAACACGCAGUUAAAGUUUUGCCCUAGAACUGACCCUUGUGGUACUCCCAGUCAUUAUAAACGGCUAACCACUUUAUGUUUAUAGAUUUGUAUGUGGGUGCAAGGUGAAUGUUUGUGUUUUUUUUUUGUGGGCACGACCUGCUAAGGAGUCAUACCACACAGGGCCCUGUAAGGACAUGUCAAAAUGUAAACUUUAAACAAGCAAGAUCCCUUCCUGUUUGCUUGCGUAACGUUUACUUGAGACGACUGAAGACCUGUGCCUACAUUUUUCUGCGAUUCUUUAACCUACAACAUCGCUUUCUGCAGUCUGCAUAUGAAAAUAAACUCAAAUCAAAAUGCGUAAAAAUCCUUAAGACACCAGUGAGUACCAAGGACAAUCUUUAUAUCUACAUAACUGUGGAUCAGUAAAUAACGGCACAACUUGGAGUGAAUGAGAAGGUGGCAGAUAACACCAAUGUUACCAAGAAACCCUAAAAUGACUUACGAUGGCCUUCCUGAUUCAGUGGAAACACUCAAUGUCACGAGACACUAUUACAGCUCUCAUCGGCAUUAUAGUCGUUCUUGAUGCAAAUAUUUGUGUGAUUGUACAGGUGAGACCAUUUGUUCUCUGCACAGGGAUCACAGCAUUAAUCUCUGUCUUCUGAUUUGCAUGGUGAGUCCGUGACACAGUAUCAAGGACUGGUGUCCUGCACUGAAGAGCUGGAGAUCUUCAGUGCCACCAAGUCACUAUCCUGAUGUUUCGGGGCUGCUGCAAAUUUUCACUUUCGCACAAGUGAAAUUAAAAAUACCAUCCAAACAGUGGCAAGUCAUACAACCGAUUAAAUAUUAAAUAUUCUAGUGUACUGAGCACUUAGUUAUUCUCUAACGGUAUGUAAUAGUGUUCAGCUUAAGAUUUUCUUUCAUUCGUAUGUGCGUGAUGUAGCACAUGGUUACAGUCUUCAGACGGACUAAAUUACUGAAUAAGUUAUCACUGCCAAAGGGCGCCUCCCCACUGUCAUCAAGUACAUAAUCUCAUAAUUUAUAGGUUUCAACCGCUGGUGGCUUCAGCCCAUCCUGAAUGAAAUGUCCGGUGCUGGUUGCUAUUUAGUCGUACAAGAGAAGGAGCAAUUGUAUUUACUGAUCACAAGGCUCAUGAUGUCAUCAUGUGAUGUCUAUUUUAAUUCAGCUUCUUUCUCUGUUGCCAGUAAGCAUUGCAGAUGAAGACAAUAAAUCAAUAUUCGGAACCUAGCAGUAAAUCCUAGUUUGUAAAGAACCUAGCCUGGAAAAUAAAUUCACAUACAUUAAUCGCGUCGUUUUUCCUGAAUUACUAAGGUAUUUUACUGCUGCUUUGAUCUCCAUAUAUAAGGGAAGAAGGGUAGAUCCUGCAUUGCACUGGGACAGCGCUGGGCACUCUUUGUGUAAACGUGAAUAUAGUCAGUGAUUAUUUGCCUGUUUCUUUGCCUCUUAUAUGCAAACUGCAAACAAUCUCCUGCGACUGAGGGUGGAAAAAGCAACAUGCGCGUACCGCAGCAACAUGCUCAUGCCGCAGCAAAGAGCCGCAUCCUACACAAUUUGAAUCCUGCUUUGAAUCCGCUCAUGAUUCACCUGCUUGUGAUUUUCCGCCGCAUGGCCCGGUCCUGACAGGUCUCUUCCAUCGGAUCCUGUCAGAUGAUGUUCUCUCACGGCUUUAUAAAUUUCAAGCAUAGUGACCAGGAUUCAAAAGAAGAGUUCUGAUAGUAUUUUCAAAAAGAUUUCACUGUUUACCAUGGAUUCAUACUCUUAAAUCACAACCCCCCCCCCAGCAACCUCUGACACUCAUCCAUCCAUCCAUCCAUCCAUUAUCGGGGGCCUGGUUGCGGGGACUACAGUCUAAGAAGGGAUGCCCAGACCUCCUUCUGACCAGCCACCUCCUCCGGGGAGGAUACUGAGGCGUUCCCAGGCCAGCCCAGAGAUAUAAUAUCUCCAGUGUGUCCUGGGUCUGCCCCGGGGCCUCCUCCUGGUUGGACAUGCCUGAAACACCUCCCCAGGGAGCCGUCCAGGAGGCAUCCGACAUGCCCGAACCACCUCUUCUGCCUCCUUCGCUGUACUUUGAGCCCCUCCCGAAUGUGUGAGCUCCUCCCAAUGUCUCUAAUACUGAGCCCAGUCACCCUGCAGAGGAAUCUCAUUUCUGUCGCUUAUAUCUGCCAUCUCAUUCUUUCGGUCACAGCUCAUGACCAUUGAUGAGGGUAGGAACGUAGAUCAACUGGUAAAUCAAGAGCUUUGCCUUCCAGCUCAGGUCUCUAUCACAACAGAACAGGUCCAUAUUACUGCUGGUGCUGCACCGAUCCAUCUGUCUAUCUCUCGCUCCCUUGUUCCCUCACUCGUAAACAAGACCCCGAGAUACUUAAACUCCUCUGCCUUGCUACCCUGCCCGGUUUAGGGAGACUGAGGCCUGAGGGAAGAGCUUGAAAGCGAGAGCCUGGUGGCCGGAGCCUCCACCCAUGGGCCCGGCCGGGCGUAGCCUGAAGGAAUAACAUGGGUCUGCCCUCCUGUGGACUCCUCACCUGUAGGUGGAGCUGUGGUGGUCGGGCGCAAUGUAGAUCAGGUGGCAGUCAAAGACAUACGCCGUAACAGACCAGUCGUCGGCUACCUUUUGACAUUCAAGGUACCUUAUUUAUGUCACACUAAAGCACCUUGUUUAUCUUUUAUAUGUUAAAUUAUUUAAUUUCAUAGUAAAAACCUGAAUGAAACAUCCUAUA